UGACAAUUUACAUCCGUUACAUUAUACUAAUCAACCGACCAUCCACUCAACUUUGAGAGAUUACUAUCAUUCUAACCACACAUCCCUCCAUUUAAGGCCGAAAACUUAAUAGCAACACAUAUUUGGUAUUAUUAAUAGUAUAAUAACGUUGUUAUAUAUAUAUAUAUAUAUAUAUAUAUAGAGAGAGAGAGAGAGAGAGAGCAGGACUGUUGUGCUCUCAGGAGCACGGAGGUCUCCAUGCUCCUGAGCCGUUUUCGAUGAUGGAAUUUCCGAAUUGACGAUCGGCUCCGGUAGACUUGAUCUAGUGUAUUUGAAGUUUCUAGAAAAUAAUUUUUGCUAUUUUUCGAUAUUAUUUACCUAGCAAUCGAAAGGAUUCAAAAUCAAUAAUUUUUAACGGCUGAAAAUAAAGUCCUAUAAAAAGUGGUGAUAUAGCAAUAAAAUUUUCGAUCAGAAAAAUUGAACUUGUUGUAGAUAGUAGAAAGAAUUUUGUAUUAAAAUUUUAUCUGAUUAAUUUGAAUACUUCUACACCGUUAAACUUGAAAACGGUAGAUAUCAACCAUUAAAAAUUAUUAAUUUUGAAUCUUUUCGAUCACUAGGUAAAUGAUAUCGAAAAAUCGCAAAAAUUAUUUUCUAGAAACUUCAAAUGCGCUAGAUCAAGUCUAACGGAGCCGAUCGUCGAUUUGAAAAUUUCAUCAUCAGAAACGGCUCAGGAGCAAGGAGACCUCUGUGCUCCUGAGAGCAUAGCAGCCCUGC
rnacentral:lncRNA from 1 species